GGAUGUGAGGGCAAUCUGGCUGCGACAUCUGUCACCCUAUUGAUAGCCAGGGUUGAUUCAGCUGAUAUGGCUGGCUAGACAGGUGUCCUCUUCCUCCCUUACCACUCCAUGUGCAUCCCUCCUGAAGCUGUGCACUUGGUUGAAGAGGAUGACCACCCCCAAUAGAGGAGUACCCUUCUUUGAUCAAGGGUAUAUAAGUAGCUGUGCUCCCCUGCUAGAGCCUCCAAACAAGCUCUCAAGAUCAAGAAUGGAAAGACAAUAGUCUAAUGGAAUAUCUGUGGGUGAGGGAAGGUUAGGCUGGAGCACUCCCACUGGCUGCAUUACUCUAUUGACAGCUCUUAAAU
rnacentral:snRNA from 1 species